AUUGAACGCUGGCGGCAGGCCUAACACAUGCAAGUCGAACGAGUGGCGGACGGGUGAGUAAUGUCUGGGAAACUGCCCGAUGGAGGGGGAUAACUACUGGAAACGGUAGCUAAUACCGCAUACCAUCGGAUGUGCCCAGAUGGGAUUAGCUUGUAGGUGAGGUAACGGCUCACCUAGGCGACGAUCCCUAGCUGGUCUGAGAGGAUGACCAGGAAAGGUGGAACUGAGACAAGGGACAGAAGCCUACGGGAGGCAGGAGUGGGGAAUAUUGCACAAUGGGGGCAAGCGUGAUGUAGUCAUGCAGGGUGUAUGAAGAAGGCCGUCGGGUUGUAUAGUAAUUGCAGCGGGGAGGCGUUACCCGCAGAAGAAGCACCGGCUAACGCCGUGCCAGCAGCCGCGGUAAUUC
rnacentral:rRNA from 1 species